AUUGAACGCUGGCGGCAGGCCUAACACAUGCAAGUCGAGCGGAUGAAGGGAGCUUGCUCCUGGAUUCAGCGGCGGACGGGUGAGUAAUGCCUAGGAAUCUGCCUGGUGGUGGGGGAUAACGUCCGGAAACGGGCGCUAAUACCGCAUACGUCCUGAGGGAGAAAGUGGGGGAUCUUCGGACCUCACGCUAUCAGAUGAGCCUAGGUCGGAUUAGCUAGUUGGUGGGGUAAAGGCCUACCAAGGCGACGAUCCGUAACUGGUCUGAGAGGAUGAUCAGUCACACUGGAACUGAGACACGGUCCAGACUCCUACGGGAGGCAGCAGUGGGGAAUAUUGGACAAUGGGCGAAGGCCUGAUCCAGCCAUGCCGCGUGUGUGAAGAAGGUCUUCGGAUUGUAAAGCACUUUAAGUUGGGAGGAAGGGCAGUAAGUUAAUACCUUGCUGUCUUGACGUUACCAACAGAAUAAGCACCGGCUAACUUCGUG
rnacentral:rRNA from 1 species